GGCCCCCGAGGGACGGGCAGCUAGCAGCCCCACGCCUCCAGGCUCAAACCGGAACGAGGCGGCGGCUUGGCCGUCUGGGCUCCGAGUCCACGCUUGUAGCUGUUUCAGUCCUGGGGGGCGGGGUCCCUGUGCGUUUGCUUAAAUAGGAUUCGGCGGGGCCCCCAAAGCCUCGGAAGCGGCGGGAGGACUGACACGAGCAGAGGAUAGUUCAUUUGAGGUGUUUCCGGGCAACCGAUAAGCAGGACACAGAAGAUGACAGCUGCUUCCCACAACGUGUAUUCAGAGGAAUUCUUCCUGUGACGCCGGACCUUCAGCACAUACCCAUAGCAAGGAGGAGGGCAUAGCUCAGGGACAAAGUUGAUGCUCUACUUGUAGAAAAGUCCAGGUUCCACCUUCGCAUCUCGAGGUGGGCUAGGAAACACCCCUGAAUGAAGCCCCAGAGAGCCAGUGGCCUAUAGACAAUACUGAGCUGGAACUCUGGUGUGGUGGCCUUUUGGGCAAGCUGAGAAUUCCCUGAGAGAUACCUUUAUAGACCCUUUAUGCAGCCCGUACCAACCUGGUGGCCUCCAGAAGUUUUGGACUACAAUUCCCAUCGGCCCCAACCAGCAUGGGAUGGGGAGGAAGACAGGGCAAUUAAACCUCCAUAAGAUGCAGACUGUGAAGUGAUGGUAAGGAAAGCCAACUCAACACUGACCCCUGGCGGUUAUCUGGCCAAUUGACAAAAACACUACUAUGGUAAAACCCAAUGCCCCUUCUCGCACCUCCACGUACCCCAAUACAGUGGUACCCCGCAAGACGAAUGCCUCGGAAGACGAAAAACUCGCUAGACGAAGGAGUUUUUCGUUUUCUUAGCCGCUUCGC